CAGCCGCCGCGGUAAUACGGAGGGUGCAAGCGUUAAUCGGAAUUACUGGGCGUAAAGCGUGCGUAGGCGGUUCGUUAAGUCUGUUGUGAAAGCCCCGGGCUCAACCUGGGAAUGGCAAUGGAUACUGGCGAGCUAGAGUGUGUCAGAGGAUGGUGGAAUUCCCGGUGUAGCGGUGAAAUGCGUAGAGAUCGGGAGGAACAUUAGUGGCGAAGGCGGCCAUCUGGGACAACACUGACGCUGAGGCACGGAAGCGUGGGGAACAAACAGGAUUAGAUACCCCAGUAGUCCCUGUCUCUUAUAC
rnacentral:rRNA from 1 species